CUUGUGACUGGACUGGUCUGAAGUAGGUGUUUGGAGGGGUCUAGGCCACCCGCCUCUUCCUGCUCUCUGUUUAUUGGCCAUCGACUGACGGCGACGAGGCGAGGCACUGGAAGGUGGUGCCUGAAGUAGGCGUUAGGCUGUCCUAGGUGCGCUUCCCUGAUGUAUAGCCUUUUUUGCUUGUUGGUAUUUCGCGCAAGCGCAUGGCGCUAGUGCCUUCUGCCCGUCUUUGGGCGGAUCGGUCUACCGUGGCGUUGCAGCACACCGAGGCACCCUUCACCAGAGUCAGCGGUGGGGCGGAGACCAAGCUCCUGUUUCUGCGGGGUUGGAGCAGUGGCCAUCCCUUCCAGUGCUCAACAAUAAUAAACACUUUGCACUGGAGUGCAAGUACGCUCUCGCAUUAAUUCAUUUGAUAAUGAGUUCCGAGGAGCAAGGCAUCUAGCUCUUUCAGCCGUUCUUGCAGUAGACAGCCCACAUCCUGGCUGGGUGCCAGGUUGGGAGUAAGGGUUCUGCUUGCUGCAGUGCGGACCCCUCGUGAUGGUCGCCGGGAUCGAGGAAGACUACUGUCCCGAAAUUCUACUGCCCUUCGGAGCUUCCUAGAGCUGGUAAAAAUCAGAAUUCCAUUGCGCUCCCGUGGUUCCUCAAAAAUGGUCUCAAAGGUCCUGGGUCAGGCAAGAAGAAGAGAUCUUUCUUUACAAGGAUUCUCCGUGGUUCAAACAGCCCUGUACUGCCCUCAGACCUUCCAAGUUUCUCACCUUCUGGCUGUGGGUGAUUGGUAAUUCUUAUUGGUAUAAAUUUCUUCCAGAGUGAA